GGUUAAGCGACUAAGCGUACACGGUGGAUGCCCUGGCAGUCAGAGGCGAUGAAGGACGUGCUAAUCUGCGAUAAGCGUCGGUAAGGUGAUAUGAACCGUUAUAACCGGCGAUUUCCGAAUGGGGAAACCCAGUGUGAUUCGUCACACUAUCAUUACGUGAAUACAUAGCGUAAUGAAGCGAACCGGGGGAACUGAAACAUCUAAGUACCCCGAGGAAAAGAAAUCAACCGAGAUUCCCCCAGUAGCGGCGAGCGAACGGGGAACAGCCCAGAGUCUGAAUCAGCUUGUGUGUUAGUGGAACGGUCUGGAAAGUCCGACGGUACAGGGUGAUAGUCCCGUACACCAAAAUGCACAGGUUGUGAACUCGAAGAGUAGGGCGGGACACGUGGUAUCCUGUCUGAAUAUGGGGGGGACCAUCCUCCAAGGCUAAAUACUCCUGACUGACCGAUAGUGAACCAGUACCGUGAGGGAAAGGCGAAAAGAACCCCGGCGAGGGGAGUGAAAAAGAACCUGAAACCGUGUACGUACAAGCAGUGGGAGCCUCUUUAUGGGGUGACUGCGUACCUUUUGUAUAAUGGGUCAGCGACUUAUAUUCUGUAGCAAGGUUAACCGUAUAGGGGAGCCGAAGGGAAACCGAGUCUUAACUGGGCGUUAAGUUGCAGGGUAUAGACCCGAAACCCGGUGAUCUAGCCAUGGGCAGGUUGAAGGUUGGGUAACACUAACUGGAGGACCGAACCGACUAAUGUUGAAAAAUUAGCGGAUGACUUGUGGCUGGGGGUGAAAGGCCAAUCAAACCGGGAGAUAGCUGGUUCUCCCCGAAAGCUAUUUAGGUAGCGCCUCGUGAACUCAUCUUCGGGGGUAGAGCACUGUUUCGGCUAGGGGGUCAUCCCGACUUACCAACCCGAUGCAAACUGCGAAUACCGAAGAAUGUUAUCACGGGAGACACACGGCGGGUGCUAACGUCCGUCGUGAAGAGGGAAACAACCCAGACCGCCAGCUAAGGUCCCAAAGUCAUGGUUAAGUGGGAAACGAUGUGGGAAGGCACAGACAGCCAGGAUGUUGGCUUAGAAGCAGCCAUCAUUUAAAGAAAGCGUAAUAGCUCACUGGUCGAGUCGGCCUGCGCGGAAGAUGUAACGGGGCUAAACCAUGCACCGAAGCUGCGGCAGCGACACUAUGUGUUGUUGGGUAGGGGAGCGUUCUGUAAGCCGUUGAAGGUGUAUCGUGAGGUAUGCUGGAGGUAUCAGAAGUGCGAAUGCUGACAUAAGUAACGAUAAUGCGGGUGAAAAACCCGCACGCCGGAAGACCAAGGGUUCCUGUCCAACGUUAAUCGGGGCAGGGUGAGUCGACCCCUAAGGCGAGGCCGAAAGGCGUAGUCGAUGGGAAACAGGUUAAUAUUCCUGUACUUGGUGUUACUGCGAAGGGGGGACGGAGAAGGCUAUGUUAGCCGGGCGACGGUUGUCCCGGUUUAAGCAUGUAGGCGGAGGUUCCAGGUAAAUCCGGUACCUUUUUAACGCUGAGGUGUGAUGACGAGGCACUACGGUGCUGAAGUAACAAAUGCCCUGCUUCCAGGAAAAGCCUCUAAGCAUCAGGUAACACGAAAUCGUACCCCAAACCGACACAGGUGGUCAGGUAGAGAAUACCAAGGCGCUUGAGAGAACUCGGGUGAAGGAACUAGGCAAAAUGGUGCCGUAACUUCGGGAGAAGGCACGCUGAUAUGUAGGUGAAGUGGUUUACCCAUGGAGCUGAAAUCAGUCGAAGAUACCAGCUGGCUGCAACUGUUUAUUAAAAACACAGCACUGUGCAAACACGAAAGUGGACGUAUACGGUGUGACGCCUGCCCGGUGCCGGAAGGUUAAUUGAUGGGGUUAUCCGUAAGGAGAAGCUCUUGAUCGAAGCCCCGGUAAACGGCGGCCGUAACUAUAACGGUCCUAAGGUAGCGAAAUUCCUUGUCGGGUAAGUUCCGACCUGCACGAAUGGCGUAAUGAUGGCCGGGCUGUCUCCACCCGAGACUCAGUGAAAUUGAACUCGCUGUGAAGAUGCAGUGUACCCGCGGCAAGACGGAAAGACCCCGUGAACCUUUACUAUAGCUUGACACUGAACACUGGUCCUUGAUGUGUAGGAUAGGUGGGAGGCUUUGAAGUGUGGACGCCAGUCUGCAUGGAGCCAUCCUUGAAAUACCACCCUUUAAUGGCUGGUGUUCUAACGUGGACCCGUUACCCGGGUUGCGGACAGUGUCUGGUGGGUAGUUUGACUGGGGCGGUCUCCUCCUAAAGAGUAACGGAGGAGCACGAAGGUUAGCUAAUCCUGGUCGGACAUCAGGAGGUUAGUGCAAAGGCAUAAGCUAGCUUGACUGCGAGAGUGACGGCUCGAGCAGGUGCGAAAGCAGGUCUUAGUGAUCCGGUGGUUCUGAAUGGAAGGGCCAUCGCUCAACGGAUAAAAGGUACUCCGGGGAUAACAGGCUGAUACCGCCCAAGAGUUCAUAUCGACGGCGGUGUUUGGCACCUCGAUGUCGGCUCAUCACAUCCUGGGGCUGAAGUAGGUCCCAAGGGUAUGGCUGUUCGCCAUUUAAAGUGGUACGCGAGCUGGGUUUAGAACGUCGUGAGACAGUUCGGUCCCUAUCUGCCGUGGGCGCUGGAGAAUUGAGGGGGCUGCUCCUAGUACGAGAGGACCGGAGUGGACGCAUCACUGGUGUUCGGGUUGUCAUGCCAAUGGCAUUGCCCGGUAGCUAAAUGCGGAAGAGAUAAGUGCUGAAAGCAUCUAAGCACGAAACUUGCCCCGAGAUGAGUUCUCCCUGAGACUAUAAGUCUCCUGAAGGAACGUUAAAGACGAUGACGUUGAUAGGUCGGGUGUGUAAGUGUAGCGAUACAUUGAGCUAACCGAUACUAAUGAACCGUGAGGCUUAACCUU
rnacentral:rRNA from 1 species